rnacentral:rRNA from 1 species
GACGAACGCUGGCGGCGUGCUUAACACAUGCAAGUCGAGCGAUGAAGCUCCUUCGGGAGUGGAUUAGCGGCGGACGGGUGAGUAACACGUGGGUAACCUGCCUCAUAGAGGGGAAUAGCCUUUCGAAAGGAAGAUUAAUACCGCAUAAGAUUGUAGUACCGCAUGGUACAGCAAUUAAAGGAGUAAUCCGCUAUGAGAUGGACCCGCGUCGCAUUAGCUAGUUGGUGAGGUAACGGCUCACCAAGGCGACGAUGCGUAGCCGACCUGAGAGGGUGAUCGGCCACAUUGGGACUGAGACACGGCCCAGACUCCUACGGGAGGCAGCAGUGGGGAAUAUUGCACAAUGGGGGAAACCCUGAUGCAGCAACGCCGCGUGAGUGAUGACGGUCUUCGGAUUGUAAAGCUCUGUCUUCAGGGACGAUAAUGACGGUACCUGAGGAGGAAGCCACGGCUAACUACGUGCCAGCAGCCGCGGUAA